AAACAAUAGGGUUCGUUAGCAGGAGCAGAAAAACCUUCUCGCGGGCUGAAAUGAGGCUUUGAUUGGGAACAGAUGCGGGAGAGAAGCGCUGGGCCCACCAGGACAACCCACAGCUCUGCCAGGCUGAGGCCAAGGGCACAGCUCAAAAUCAAGACUAAUCAUGCUGCUGCUGAAAUCCCGUGCCCUGCUGCGCACAGAGAGCCCGGCGUGCGUGGAUCUGGGCCCUGGGGUGCCGGCAGAGGUGCCUGGGGGCACGGUGCUGUCAGCAGGAGAUGGAGAGGGGCUCAGCAGGGCCUGACCCUGAGCCAGCUUUCCCUCCUUCCCUCCCUCCGACUCUCUCUCUCCUGCAGGGCCGUGACGUGUGGGAACUGCAGGAGGAGCUGCCCAUAUUCCUGAUCCCUGCUGGAUCUGGGCUCAGGAAUGUCCUGCCACCCACGAGCGGGAGAAGAGAGCACCACGCUGCCCUUUGGGAGCCCCCAGAUUCUGCACCAAAGACCUGCAGAGGGUCCUCACCCCGCUCGGAGGCAGCACAAGCCUUUUCCCCCCCGAACGCCACCCCCAAGGCUGGGAGGCGGCCGUGCCCUCAUUCCUGGGAGGGGAUGCAGGAGGGUGGGAUGGGACACAGAGCCCACCCAGCGAGGCUGCAGACACCCACCCAACCCCAGGCCACCUCACCAUGUCUGCCCCGGCGCUGGGGGCGCAGGGCUGGGGGCGCUGCCAGCACCCAGCUGGGCAUGAAGGAUCAAUACUCACGUGAGCUCCCAGCACCCCAGGGAGCGGGAAGGGCUCCGUCCACCUCUCCCCCCGGCUCGGUGGCAGCAGCAACAGCGCCUCUGGAAGCUGCUUGGCUCCCUUUAACCCUUUCCUGGUGGGGCUGGUUGCCAGCGGGCCGGGUCCCCCUGCGCCCCCCGCCCCCAGCGGCGGCUCCGGCGGGAGGCAAUCGGCGGGCGCGCGCUGCAGAGCGGCGCUUUUCUUCUCUAAUCUUCUUAUUUCAUUUUAGCAUUUACAAUACAGCCAGCCGGUAAUCCUGACAUCAAACACGCCACGCGCACUUCCAAGCCGCACCGACGUCAGGCUGCGCGAGCGCUGGCAGGAGCUGCCAGCUCCGACGGCUCCAGAUAAGGCAGGCAGGAAAGACAAGGAAAGCAGCUCUGCCAGCAGCAUGAGCAGGCACUGCGCCCUCCAGAGCCCUUGGGCCACCCACAGGGUGCAGGAGCCACGGCUGGGGUGAGCCCAUGGAGGAGGAAGGAGCCCAGCAAACACAGCCCGGCACUGGCAGCAGCAGGGGCUGUGAGGAACGAGCAGCAGGAGGAGGACUCGUGUCCCCGUGAGAACCUCAGCCCUGCCCCUUGCUCUGUGCCAGCUGGGCACGGGUCUGGUGUGGGGUCACCUCGCACAGAACAGUCUCGGGUCUAAUCCAAGUCUCACCAUUUGGGAUCUAAUCAGCACUGAAUGUCUUUGGGAAGCUCUCUCUCGCGCGCAUGCCCCGAUGGGGGAGAUUCCAGGUCUGCGGAGGCUGUGCCUGGUGGGAGCUGCCCGGGAUCCUUCCCUCGCCUCUUCCCG